GUAGUUGGUAGACUUGCAUAGAUUAUAAACAGAAGAUGUUUCAUUGUAUAUAAUGUGUCAAAUUGUGAUUAUUUUUUUUUUCAUUUUGCACACUAAAAUAUAUUAUUCUAAAUACUAAAAACUGACUACUACCAUACAUAUUCCAAGUUAAAGUUCCUUUUAUGUAUUUUUUUUAUUUAUCAAAUUUUCAUUUUUUUAUGUUAAUAUUUUAAUUUUUUGUUCGGCAUCAUAAUAAUAAUAUAUUUUGUUAUUUUCGUUUUGUUAAAUACUUCUUGUAAUACAUCUAUUUUAUGUGAGGAUUUGUAACUGGCAACUCGAAGUUUGGGUUUUUUUUUUGUAAUUGUAAUAGAAUGUGACAUUAUUUUGUAGAAGAACAUAGUAUAUUGAGGUUAUACCGAAAAGUAAAAUAAAAAAAUAAAAGCAACAUGUUUCGUUUACCUUUUGGAGAACGAGUUGAUCCCUUGGAGGAAAAACGUCAAGCAAGAGAAAAUACUAUAAACAGUAUGAUAACAUUUUGCGUGCUCUGUGCUGCAAUAAGAAUUGCUCCAUUCGUACUUGAGCAGAGUGGGUUCUAAGUUCUAACACUCGAAAUGAAUAAAAAAAUGGUAUAGCUUCAAUACAAGAUUAUGUAAAUUAUGUCACACAAGCUUUAUUGUCCUAUAGAACAUCUGUAGAGAUAUUUACUAUCAAACUGUAAAUAAAUAAUUUGUAGGGAA